rnacentral:rRNA from 1 species
ACUUCGGUAAUGGAUUAGUGGCGAACGGGUGAGGAACACGUGAAGAAUCUGCCCCUCAUUUGGGAUAACUUCGGGAAACCGAGGCUAAUACCGAAUAUGAAACAUAAGUGGCAUCACUGAGUUUGAAAGUUUUUCGAUGAGGGAUGACUUCGCGGCCUAUCAGCUAGUUGGUGAGGUAACGGCUCACCAAGGCAACGACGGGUAGCCGGCCUGAGAGGGCGAACGGCCACACUGGGACUGAGACACGGCCCAGACUCCUACGGGAGGCAGCAGUAGGGAAUAUUGCGCAAUGGAGGAAACUCUGACGCAGCGACGCCGCGUGCGGGAUGAAGGCCUUCGGGUUGUAAACCGCUUUCAGUAGGGAAGAAGCGAAAGUGACGGUACCUACAAAAGAAGCACCGGCUAACUAUGUGCCAGCAGCCGCGGUAAUACAUAGGGUGCAAGCGUUGUCCGGAAUUAUUGGGCGUAAAGAGCUCGUAGGUCGUUUGUUACGUCGGAUGUGAAAAUCUGAGGCUCAACCUCAGACCUGCAUUCGAUACGGGCAAACUAGAGUUUGGUAGGGGAGACUGGAAUUCCUGGUGUAGCGGUGGAAUGCGCAGAUAUCAGGAGGAACACCAACGGCGAAGGCAGGUCUCUGGGCCAAUACUGACACUGAGGAGCGAAAGCGCGGGGAGCGAACAGGAUUAGAUACCCUGGUAGUCCGCGCCGUAAACGGUGGGUACUAGUUGUGGGAACCUUCCACGGUUUCUGCGACGACGCUAACGCAUUAAGUACCCCGCCUGGGGAGUACGAUCGCAAGAUUAAAACUCAAAGGAAUUGACGGGGCCCCGCACAAGCAGCGGAGCAUGCGGCUUAAUUCGACGCAACGCGAAGAACCUUACCAAGGCUUGACAUAUAGGGAAAAGCAUAGAGAUAUUGUGUCCGCAAGGGCCCUAUACAGGUGGUGCAUGGUUGUCGUCAGCUCGUGUCGUGAGAUGUUGGGUUAAGUCCCGCAACGAGCGCAACCCUCGCUCUGUGUUACCAGCAUUUAGUUGGGGACUCACAGGAGACUGCCGGGGUUAACUCGGAGGAAGGUGGGGAUGACGUCAAAUCCUCAUGCCCCUUAUGUCUUGGGCUGCACGCAUGCUACAUGGCCGGUACAGAGGGCUGCGAAACCGUAAGGUGGAGCGAAUCCCAAAAGCCGUCUCAGUUCAGAUUGAGUUCUAAACCGACGUCAUGAAGUUG